AAAAAAUGGAAACAAAGCUUCUGUACAUAAGGAGGGGAGGGGGUCUUGGGGGAGGGGGGACUGAAAAAACAGGCAGGAUGUACCAUGUGCUGGUGCAAUAAAAUAUUUUUAAAACAAUUUUUUAAGCAAAAGCAAAAUGAAGCUUUCAUAUUUCAAAAUAUUUUGGGAAAUUUAUUUAAGUGAGAAGAGGGGUGAGAAUGUAGCUCAGUGGUAAAAUGCUUGUCUAACAUAUGAAAGGCUCUGGGUUCAAAAUUAUUAAUAAUACUACUAAUUGAAACAUGUUCACUAAGUAAGACUUUUGCUGUUCCACAUACUGUGAACAGGCAGAGUGACCCAGCGCGCGGAUGUGUACACCGCGCUGAGGACUUCGUGCAUUCCUCCGGGUCGUCCUUCAGUCACGUGACACACUGUGCGCAUCAGCACUGCGGCCGGCUUUGAUUAAAGCGAGCAAGCCGAACUCAGUUCCUGCCUUCAUGGAGCAGACAGCCUACUGAGAAAGACCCUGUGGAGUCACAUCCCACUCCAGCAAAGAGAUUGAUUCUUACUGGGAUGUACGAUCGUUACAAACAUAAUUAUGCCUUUACUUUUAUUUUCUUCCUUUCAUUGUCAACAACAGGAAAACCAAUGCUGUUUCGUCUGGGCUCGUCAAGGACUGCAUUUCAGGCUCUGGCUGAAGCAAUGUAUAAAUCUAGGCCAGCGAUUCUGCAACAACAAACAGCCCAAAAGCUUAGCAAAGUUUGCAUCCUAUGUGUGCUGACUCUGCUACAGGUCUCAGCAAACUCAUCAGAGGAAGAGAAGUCUAGAGAACAAAACACUGGGAAUGAGAUGCCUCCACGUAGCAGUGACACAGGACGCUCCCACUGCCACUUCUGGGGCCACAGCAAGUGGCCCAUCUCCAGCUUCCAGUGGGACAGACAACAUCAUCUCUGAGUACCCAAAGGCAGAAAGCAGUGAAACUCAGACAAUGCUGAACAGUGGUAAUUCCUACCAGGACCUAAACAAGGAGGUAUUUUUCUCCAGAGAAAAUGAAUAUAUGUGUUUACUGGAGAAAAUGCUUCUUUUUCCUCGUCUGUUAAUCAAUUCCCUUCAUGUGGUGUAACGUUUGGAUCUUUGCAGGUAUCUGUGUCUGAGUUCAAAUCUAUCAAAUGGAAGCGACACAGACCUCAUAAAGACAGAGCGCCCAGGCAGAUGAAAAGUGCCACGGGAACCGAGCGUAAAUAUUAUUAUUAACAUUCUAAUGAGCAAGACUAGUCAGAUUUGAUUCAUUAGCUUAGUCAUUCCAAGAAUAAAGACUAAGACUAAAAACUGUGAAAAUGUUUUACAGCCAAGCAGAAGCCUUGGUUCAAGUCCAAAAUCUAGGUAAGCCCUC
rnacentral:lncRNA from 1 species